rnacentral:misc_RNA from 1 species
AAGUCGUAACAAGGUUUCCGUAGGUGAACCUGCGGAAGGAUCAUUACCAAUUAAUCCAAAAAACACUCAACCCAUGUGCACGAUGACUGAAAUGUCUGUUCUUGGGGUGGAGCUUUCAAGUUUCACCCCAUAUUUAUUCAACCCUUUGUAUUUUACUUGGCAUCUUGUCUUUUUAAAUAAAAACAAAGGACAACUUUUAACGGUGGAUCUCUUGGCUCGUGGAUCGAUG